rnacentral:lncRNA from 1 species
GGGUGGCGGAAGGUUCUAUGAGCCUGUUGUGUUUGGAAUGUAAAACAAAACCCGUUAGGGAUCUGACAUGCAGGAGCUCUGGCUGCACGGUAGCAAUUCAGCCAUCAAAGGGGAGGAUGACCUAUAUUUGCCGGUACAGACCAUGCAUUCGCCGUUUAAUCAGCGCUUGAGAAAUCAGCACAGUCCAGGGAAGAUGGCAGAGUUUGGCCCCCUGCUUAAUGCUCCCAGAGAUGGGCAGCCUACCUGACAGGUCACAACUUCUUCCCCAAAUCCAUACUACACCCCUCUUCUCCCAACUGGUCAUCUGGGAUGCCCUGGCUUCUGGUCCCCAAUUCCAGUCCCUGAGUAAAAACAUAAAGGAGCACCGGUCAGCCCUGCAGCAGCUGGUGGAACUCACCACUGUGGACAGGCAGGCUGUGACUUUGGGCACCAGGUGGAUCAUUCACUCAGCAGAUAGGAACUGAGCACCAGUGACACGGCAGGUCUGGUGAAGAGUGUCAGGGAUCUAACAGCAUAUGCUGUGAACAUACCACCUACCCGGACAGACAGCAGACUAUAAAGCG